rnacentral:rRNA from 1 species
ACCGGUGAAGAUGCCGGUUAAGUGCAGUUAGACGAAAAGACCCUAGAAGCUUUACUAUAACUUGAUAUUGAGCAUGUUUUUUGUCUGCGUAGCAUAAAUGGGAGGGGUCUGAUGUAUACGGUUUCGGCUGUAUUCUACCCAACAGUGAAAUACCAUUCUUACCGAAGGCAUGUUCUAACCAAUAGGGCAAAAACUUAUUGAAACAGUAUCUGGUGGAUAGUUUUACUGGGGCUGUACCCUCGAGUACUUAAACAUACCCCAUCCUAAAUCCUUCCCCGACAGGAAAGGACUUAAGCCCCUUUCUUUUGGAGAGGGGCUGGGGUGAGGUUUGGUUUGAGUAUUCGAAUUUUACAGCCCCAAGAGAUUUAAUGUACAUGUCAAGGGGCAUCCUUGACAUAAUAGUCUCAAAACAAAUAAAUAGGGGGGCAUAAACGGAAAGUUAUGAAAAGUUGGGAAUUUGCUGGAAAAACCGGGUAUGGUAUACUGCUUGCUAGUCGAAGAUUAUUAGCUAAGUAACAAUGUAUACCUGCGGUCAAUCAGCAGGGAAUUAAAAUUAUGGAGGAGAUAUCAACACAAGAGAGUUUAUUAGAAAAAACAAAAGAAAAUAUGGCUUAUCUAAAACAGCUACUAAAAGAUCUUGCGGAAAAAUAGAUGAAAGAAGAUAUUUCUCCUAAAGAUUUGGGUACGUAUAUUAAUUUAACUAGUAGGUAUCUAAAAUCUUUAGAAGAGACUCUCAAUAAAAUAGAAAUGAAAUAAAAUUUUAUUCCCUCAGAGACUACAAACCAACUCCCACAUCGCUAUUAAAAUAGCUAUGCGGGAAAUGUAUAGUCCGAUCUUCAUGGCGACAUGAAGGAUGUUUUUGACUCCAAAACAUCAGUGUCAAGGGGCAUCCUUGACAUAACAAAAAUGCCUAAAAAGUAAAGGAGGGGUUUAAAGGUUAGCUAGGCGCGAAUGGAAAUCGUGCCGAUAGUGUAAUGGCACAAGCUAGCUUGACUGUAAGAGGUACAUCUCAAGCAGGUGGGAAACCAGAACAUAGUGAACCGACCACCCGUGUUAGACGCGGUGGAAGAUUAACGGAUAAAAGCUACUCUAGGGAUAACAGGCUAGUUCCGCCCAAGAGUUCAUAUCGACGGCGGAGUUCGGCACCUCGAUGUCGGCUCACCUUAGCGCGGCGGUGGAGAAGCUGCCAAGCGUUUGGCUGUUCGCCAAUUAAAAAGGUACGCGAGCUGGGUUCAGACCGU